CCACACCCGGGAUCCGAACCUGUGAACCCCAGGCUGCUGAAGCCAAGCAGCAACCCAACCACUAUGCAACCGGGCUGGGCCUCCAACUGUCUUUCUUAUACCGCACCCACUGUCAGGCUUCCCUCCUGGAACGGGGGUGGGGGCCAAGCCACUGCCCAGAGCUUCUGGAGGGACUGAUCUGGGCAUUGUGGCUUCAGUGUCAGAGGACACCGGGGGCAUUGGUGCCACCUGAUCUCUCCACUUGGAUGUCUCAGAAGCAUCUCAAACUUAUGUGGCCAAAAAGGAACUCUUGAUUUUCAUCAGAAGCCUGCUCCCCACUCAUGUCUCCUCCAUCUCAGUAAAUGACCUAGCCCAUUUCUCACACUGAAGACCCAGGAGUCCUCCUUCUCUCACUCCCCACGUGCAGUCCCCCAGCAAACCCUGUGGACCCUCCCACAAACACACCCCAGUGCAUCCACUGCCUCUCAUUCUGCUGCAGCCAUCGUCUCCCUCCCCUGGAUAACUUUCACAGCUCCUGUCCCACCUCCCUGCUUCUAUUCCUGUCCCCAAUAGUCACUUCUCCAGAAUGAUCUUUCAGAAACAUCAAGGAGAACAUGCCUCUCCCAUCUUCAAGACCUUCCAGUGACUUCUCACUGCUCUUAGAAUAAAACCCACACCCUGGACUCUGGUCUGCAGAGACCUGUGCCUUCGGCCCCUGCGCCCUGCUUGUCUCUCCCUCUCCCUUUUGCGCUCGCCUGCUGCGCUCCAGUCCCCCUGCCCUCUUGCUCACCUUCGCGUGGCUUGUCUUUCUGUCAUUUGAAUCUCAGUUACAAUUUUCUGUGCAUCCUCUUUCACCCCUGGCUUCUCUCUACCAGUGACUCCACAGUCUUUGUCUCCAGCCAAAGCUGGACUCAGGUGUCGUGUGUCUCUGGACAGCUGUGUCCGCCUGGGUGUCCCACAGACGCCUCAAACUCAGUCCUCCUCCAGCAGUUUUUUUUGCAUUUCUCAUGAUCUCUUCUUCCUUCUGUGUUCUCUGCGGGGAUCUCAGUUACCCAAGUGGGACCCUUGCUCCCUCCCCCUGUAGCGAAGCCGUUCAGUGCCUCCCCUGUUGAGCCCAUUCGUGCCUCAUUGUUUCUCAUCUGGAUUCCUAUAACCAUCUCCUAACUUGCCUCCCAGUCUUGAUCCCGUGAAGUUUCCUGAACUUGCCUACGACCUGGUGUCCUCCCCAUCUCCACUCUACUUUUGCCCAGAUUGCUUUUUCCUAUCAACCACCACCAAACUCAGAAUCACUCUCCACACCCAGCUUCCCCCCUUGUGAAGCCUUCCUCGACCUCCCCCUCUGACACCCUCUACCCCGAGCUGCUCCUCCGGACCUGUGCAAACCCGUCCUCAACACUUGCCAAACCAUCUGUGACUGUCCGCCCCACCAGACCACGAGCUUCCUGUUUUAUUAGACUUUGUAUUCUCGGUGCCAACUCUGGGAGCCCGCCUCAUAGUUUGUGCAUUAAUAAUUGUUUGUUCAGUAAAUGAAUGAAGCAAUGAAUGGAUUGCUUGUCUUUGUUCUCUUUCCCAAACUGACUGUUCCUCCUUUGCUUGACACUCCAUUUUCUUCAGGCUUAAGGCUGCCCUCUUUGUGAAUAAUCAUAGACCUUUCCUGGGGCAGACACUCUGCCAAGUGUUUCUGGUCCCUGUCUCAUUUGAAGUCUGACCACAAUCCCUUGAAGGAGAUGCUAUGAUUAUCUCUAUCUUAUAAAUGAGGAAACUGAUGUUCAGAAAGGUUAAUUCACUUGCUCGGGGUCACACAGCUGGUAAGUGGUGGAGCUGAGGUUUGAACUUAGAUCUGUCUGUCUCGGAAGUCGGAGCAUGGCAUUUGGGACUCCCACGAGUUGGCCCCAGCUCGGCCCUGAGGCUCAUCCCCCAAGGGUCCCUGGCCCUUUUGUUAGGCCUCAUGGGCUUGGCUCCUCCCAAGUCACCUCAGGUUUCCUGCCAGUCAGUGCCUCUCCUGCAAGAAGCCUUUCUCUCUCCUCACUUUCCAGGUCUACGCGGUGCUCCUGGACUUCUGGCUGCAAGUGGGCCUCCCGGCUGCGCCUGGAAGCAGGACUGCCCCAGGAGGUACACUGUGGAAGAAAAGAAAAAUCGAGGUUCAGAGUGGAGAGAUGCCCAGAGCCACAGGGGCCCUGGUGAGCCUGCCGCGUGGCCUGGAGUGGGAGGGGCAGCGCACCGGCUCCCUCUCCGCCAGGCACCCUCCUCAAGGUUCUUUCUGCCUGCCCGCCCACCGGGCCUCAGCUCAGGGUCACGCACAGGCCCAUCUUCUUAGCCAUUCCCCACCUCCUAACAAAAGAUUCCAGUCCUGGCUCCACCCUCUGGGCAAUCAGCGGGUUGCUUCUCCUCCUCCUCCAGCAUCCAAAAAUUGCUAAAGAAAAAUGCUGCGUGAAGCAAAGCCAUCCCAAGGCUGUCCUGGACCCCGAGCAGCGACAAAGAAGGU